GGAACUUUUCAAACUGCGCGCCAUUCCCGGGAGCCAGAGCUGUCAAGAUCCUUCCAAAAUAUCUGGGCUACCGCUAGAUGCGAGUGAUGUAAGCCGAAGUAAAUAAACCGGAUUUCUUCAAAAUCAACAAACGCCUGAAUUUAACGCUUAACUAAACGGUGCAACCGAACCCCAGAGCCUACGCUUUCUGUAAGUACCAUUUACGCGGACUGGUCGUAUACGCAACAGUGCAAAAGGAGGAACGAAAAGCAGCACAAUGAAUAGAUUGCGCUACAUUAUUCCUAGGCAAUGGUAUGCCUUGCCCAUACUUUUCACCGGUAUCUAUCUGGGUCAUUUAUUGGACGUAAAGGAGACUGAAAGAAUGACAUUAUUCAGAGACAAGUCAGCCCUAUAUGGACGGGAGCUGCAACCAGGAGAAGCACCCACUUGGCCUUAGAGCAAAUGAUAGCAGUAGUAGAUUUUGUGACUAAAUCGUUGCCACCUU